GACCACCCCGUCAUCAAGUACAACGUGCUGUGGGAGGAGGGCAAGGCGGCGCUGGAGCAGCUGCUCAAGUUCAUGGUGCACCCGGCCAUCUCCAGCAUCAACCUGACGGCCGCGCUCGGCUCGCUGGCCACCAUCGCCCGCCAGCGGCCCAUGUUCAUGGCCGAGGUCAUCCAGGCCUACGAGACCCUCCACGCCAACCUGCCGCCCACGCUGGCCAAGUC